rnacentral:rRNA from 1 species
CCUACGGGUGGCAGCAGUGGGGAAUAUUGCACAAUGGGGGAAACCCUGAUGCAGCGACGCCGCGUGAGUGAAGAAGUAUCUCGGUACGUAAAGCUCUAUCAGCAGGGAAGAAAAUGACGGUACCUGACUAAGAAGCCUCGGCUAACUACGUGCCAGCAGCCGCGGUAAUACGUAGGGGGCAAGCGUUAUCCGGAUUUACUGGGUGUAAAGGGAGCGUUGACGGGCGCACAAGAUUGAGGUGAAAUCCCGGGGGUUAACCCCGACACUGCUUUGGAAACUGUGCGGCUGGAGAGCCGGAGGGGUAAGCGGAAUUCCUAGUGUAGCGGUGAAAUGCGUAGAUAUUAGGAGGAACACCGGUGGCGAAGGCAGCUUACUGGACUGUAACUGACGUUGAGGCUCGAAAGCGUAGGGAGCAAACGGGAUUAGAUACCCCUGUAGUC